rnacentral:rRNA from 1 species
UUUAUGGAGAGUUUGAUCCUGGCUCAGAGUGAACGCUGGCGGCGUGCCUAAUACAUGCAAGUCGAACGAUGAAAUUUCUAGCUUGCUAGAAGUGGAUUAGUGGCGCACGGGUGAGUAACGCAUAGGUUAUGUGCCUCUUAGUUUGGGAUAGCCAUUGGAAACGAUGAUUAAUACCAGAUACUCCCUACGGGGGAAAGAUUUAUCGCUAAGAGAUCAGCCUAUGUCCUAUCAGCUUGUUGGUAAGGUAAUGGCUUACCAAGGCUAUGACGGGUAUCCGGCCUGAGAGGGUGAACGGACACACUGGAACUGAGACACGGUCCAGACUCCUACGGGAGGCAGCAGUAGGGAAUAUUGCUCAAUGGGGGAAACCCUGAAGCAGCAACGCCGCGUGGAGGAUGAAGGUUUUAGGAUUGUAAACUCCUUUUGUUAGAGAAGAUAAUGACGGUAUCUAACGAAUAAGCACCGGCUAACUCCGUGCCAGCAGCCGCGGUAAUACGGAGGGUGCAAGCGUUACUCGGAAUCACUGGGCGUAAAGAGCGCGUAGGCGGGAUAGUCAGUCAGGUGUGAAAUCCUAUGGCUUAACCAUAGAACUGCAUUUGAAACUACUAUUCUAGAGUGUGGGAGAGGUAGGUGGAAUUCUUGGUGUAGGGGUAAAAUCCGUAGAGAUCAAGAGGAAUACUCAUUGCGAAGGCGACCUGCUGGAACAUUACUGACGCUGAUUGCGCGAAAGCGUGGGGAGCAAACAGGAUUAGAUACCCUGGUAGUCCACGCCCUAAACGAUGGAUGCUAGUUGUUGGAGGGCUUAGUCUCUCCAGUAAUGCAGCUAACGCAUUAAGCAUCCCGCCUGGGGAGUACGGUCGCAAGAUUAAAACUCAAAGGAAUAGACGGGGACCCGCACAAGCGGUGGAGCAUGUGGUUUAAUUCGAAGAUACACGAAGAACCUUACCUAGGCUUGACAUUGAGAGAAUCCGCUAGAAAUAGUGGAGUGUCUAGCUUGCUAGACCUUGAAAACAGGUGCUGCACGGCUGUCGUCAGCUCGUGUCGUGAGAUGUUGGGUUAAGUCCCGCAACGAGCGCAACCCCCUUUCUUAGUUGCUAACAGGUCAUGCUGAGAACUCUAAGGAUACUGCCUCCGUAAGGAGGAGGAAGGUGGGGACGACGUCAAGUCAUCAUGGCCCUUACGCCUAGGGCUACACACGUGCUACAAUGGGGUGCACAAAGAGAAGCAAUACUGCGAAGUGGAGCCAAUCUUCAAAACACCUCUCAGUUCGGAUUGUAGGCUGCAACUCGCCUGCAUGAAGCUGGAAUCGCUAGUAAUCGCAAAUCAGCCAUGUUGCGGUGAAUACGUUCCCGGGUCUUGUACUCACCGCCCGUCACACCAUGGGAGUUGUGUUUGCCUUAAGUCAGGAUGCUAAAUUAGCUACUGCCCACGGCACACACAGCGACUGGGGUGAAGUCGUAACAAGGUAACCGUAGGUGAACCUGCGGUUGGAUCACCUCCUUU